GAAGAGACGUGUAGCCUGGACAGCCACCUGCUCCAGUUCCAGUAGAGGCCCUGGCAGGGCCUUGGCAGCCGUGCCUGUUGGACAACAGCCACCUUUAGCACUGGCCAGGCUUCACGCUCGCCUCAAGUUCCCCAUCGACUACCCAUAUUCCCCACCAGCCUUCCGGUUCCUCACCAAGAUGUGGCACCCAAACAUCUAUGAGACAGGGGACGUAUGCAUCUCCAUCCUCCAUCCCCCAGUUGAUGACCCACAGAGUGGGGAGCUACCCUCAGAGCGGUGGAACCCCACGCAGAAUGUCAGGACCAUCCUCCUGAGUGUGAUCUCCCUGCUGAAUGAGCCCAACACCUUCUCGCCUGCCAACGUGGACGCCUCGGUGAUGUACAGAAAAUGGAA
rnacentral:lncRNA from 1 species